rnacentral:rRNA from 1 species
CAGCCUGCAACUCGGCUGCACGAAGCCGGAAUCGCUAGUAAUCGCAGAUCAGCAUGCUGCGGUGAAUACGUUCCCGGGUCUUGUACACACCGCCCGUCACACCAUGGGAGCCGGGAAUGCCCGAAGUCAGCGGCCCAACCGAAAGGAGGGAGCUGCCGAAGGCAGGCCUGGUGACUGGGGUGAAGUCGUAACAAGGUAAC